rnacentral:rRNA from 1 species
GACGUAGGGCGCGAGCGUUGUCCGGAUUUAUUGGGCGUAAAGAGCUCGUAGGCGGCUCGUUGCGUCGGCUGUGAAAACCCGCAGCUCAACUGUGGGCUUGCAGCUGAUACGGGCGGGCUGGGAUUCGGUAGGGGAGAGUGGAAUUCCUGGUGUAGCGGUGAAAUGCGCAGAUAUCAGGAGGAACACCGGUGGCGAAGGCGGGUCUCUGGGCCGAUAUCGACGCUGAGGAGCGAAAGCGUGGGGAGCGAACGGG